UAUAUAUAUAUAUAUAUAUAUAUAUAUAUAUAUAUAUAUAUAUAUAUAUAUAUAUAUAUAUGUAUAUGUAUAUAUAUAAUCACCAGGGAAUGAGCAGGAUCUGAGGCGUGGAGCCCCCUCUUCGCCUCUGUUGCUCCCACGUCC